AAGGUAGGGCGGUGGUGUGUUGGUGGACCAGAGGGCGAAGGAGCCCUAGGACGGACUAGGUAUGUAGGUCAGCUAGGGCGUCGAGGGAGGUGGUUGGUGUUGGCGGUGGAGAACUAGGGGUAGGCGCGGUUGGUGGUCGGUCUACGUUAGGUCGGAAUCAACGGAAGAGGUAGGAGCCUGUCACUCUAGGUUGUACGGGGCUCGAGGUGCGCGGGUCGCGGGCUCGGGGUGUCUGCUCGCAGAGGGCGAGGGAGGAGCUAGGUCUAGCUCUUCUCGAGCUAGGGCUCGAGGCGCUGGAGCGGCAUGGAGGAGGAGCGGAGCAGCGGUUGCUCGGCGGAGCGGUCUCGUGCGGCGGUCCCUUGGUCCUCGGGCGGUACCGGCGGACUUCCUCGAAGAAGCCACAACAAAACGUGGGCUAGGCCAGCCUUUUCCUGCCUAGGUAGAAGGGGUACAAGCAGGGUACGGAGAAACGGAGCUGCCUCAGCGGUUCUUCGGCUGGGAGCAGGUGGUGCAGGAAAGGUAGCGCAACAGCGCGGUUCAAGGGGACGUAGGGCGACGGAGGAGACGAACCUAGGUUGGCUCGGCAACGAGCGCAAGCGGCGGAUCCGGGGCACGGAGGAGUUCCGGGUCGGAUGGGGUCGAGCGAGCGGUCUGGCUGGACGGAGAGGUGGCGCAACUCGGAGCCGGGCGUACCACUCGGGUAGUGGUAGGGGGGAGUAAAACGGACGAACUGCGUGACGUGUACUGAAUCAUAGGUGGCGAAUCGAGACAAGUCGAGCGUGCGUGAGAAUCCACGUGUAAGCUGGGACAGGCGUGGUUUAAAAGGAAAGUUAACAAGAGUUGAAAGGAAUGCUUGACUGUACGCCCCGAGUGAUCAGGAUCCCUAUAUAUAAGUUGACUUUAGGACAAAAUAAAGAUGUUCACCUGGGGGUACGAUACGAUCCGUUUAUGCCACGGUACAGUCGUUUGAAAUGCAGAUAGGUAUUUGUUCUGGGCUUCAUCUGAUGUUCGCGAGAGUCGCCAAACCUUCUAGACCGGUAGGUAACACAAUUGAACUACGCAAAGGCCGGCAACCUAGUUCCGCGAACUCCUGCAGCCGGCGACCUAGCUUGAGCUCGAGGACAUCGUUGCUUAUCAAUGAGGGCGCUACUUUAUAGAGCACGGUGUGCACACUUAAGCCACGGGGUGGUUCCCGUAAAAUCAGUAAAGUGAAAACCCAUAUUUAGAAUCGUCGGGACACGUUGGGCCACCAUCUUGGGAUCGGCGGAGGGGUAGGCGCAGGAAGUAACAGCGAGAGAGGGGAAGGGUCGGCGAGCGGGGCGGCUGGACGGGCAGGAAGGCGCGACGGGACGGGACGGGCAGGGUGAGCGGCACCGGCUACUGCCGCGGUGGUCCUGGUGCCGGUGAGCUACUCCUCCGGACCUGGAACCGCGUCUGGGCACGAGGACUCGCCACCGUUGCCGCCUAGGGAGGAGUAGCGCCUCGCUCGGGAGGGCGGCCACAACGCGGCGCGGCGUUACGACGACCGGACCUCCGGGUACAAGCCCGUCGGCGUUGCCGCAGCAGUCGUAGCCUACGCCACCGUCCCGGAGUCCCCUGGCGAACCGUCCCCCUGGCAGCGCCGAAGACCGCUGCGGUUCGGUAUCUAGGCUCGACGGCAAAUGUGAAGCAAAGGAGGUACAAAACUAAACCACGGAGGUGAGGAGUGGUGGAGAGGGAGAGACUAGAACAAACAAGCAUCCGGAGAGAGAUGAAAUAGACAAGUACAAACAAACAUCCGGACCCGAACAUCCAAUAAACAGAAGAGAUAGACAUCUACGACAACCUAAGCCUGGUAUAAGGUUUCUACCCCCGGAAAACACGAGAGUCCAAACCGAUCCAAGGUUCAUAAUCCUAAAGAGAGUCCAGACCGAUCCAAGGUUUCUACCGGUGUCUCGGAAAACACGUGAGUCCAAACCGAUCUAAGGUUCAUAAUCCUAAAAAAACCCAGCUACCAGACCGAUCCAAGGUUUCUACCGGUGAAAAGACACCGGAAAUACGACGGAACGAACCUAAGCUACCCUCUCUCUCUUCCCAAAUCGAUCCAAGGUUUAUAACCCUAGAAAACCUUCAAUUCCAUGAGUACACGAGAAACAAUAAAACAUUUUAUACAUAUACCCCAUAAGGAGACCAAUUUUUACUCAUGAUCCAAUUCUAGGAAUGUGAACUUUAAAUAGUAAUAAACCUAUGAGACGUCACAACACAACAAAUGAUUUAAGAGGUCAAUAAAAGUCAAAGUCAAUCCGAGAGAUAUCACUAAUAGAGUUGAAUACGUUAUUGUUGAUAUGGUAGCACUACACAUUAAUGUCUAACAAAAUCACGAUAUUAAACAAGACUGAAGGUACAAAGUGUCAUAACUGUACAACUCGAACAUACGGGAAAGGUACUUAACUCAAGAUACAUUAAGAACCGUUACGUAACUGUACCAAGACCAUCGGUAAUACUACGUACUACGUGGUAUUACAGUCAAGGAAAGAUAGUGACUAAAAACCUAUUUAGAACGACGUCACUUUGGGGUUCUUGCUAUACCUACACUUACUUUUCCCUGUCAAAGUGAAGUACAUCGAUGAUGUGGUCCUCUUAACAUAGGAACGCGACUCCUUUUACAAUACGGCUGGCACCGGUUCACGGGACUUGAGUGGAUACGGACCAUUAGCACCACACUCGACUUCCAUUUUCCGUUUCGGAUUUCCAUCCGUUAGUAGUAAUCGAUCCAUCAGCUAAUAUGUCAUGAUCAACUGUGCAACGCGGUUUACCGCGUCUCUGGGCGAUUUCAGUACAACAGCUACUUUUAUCAAGGUAAAACGUUCCUGUAUAAGCUAUAACCAUCAUCUUUCGAGUACACAAUUUGGUACGAUAUAACUUUUAUACCAAUACACGAACUUUUAUAAGCUAUACACGAAGUUUUGGGCACCACGGUUUACCGCGUUUCUGUACGAUUUAAGUACAAGUGUAACUUUUCUUUUAUGUACCAAAUCAAUAUAAUCAACACGCGUUCGUGUAUGUCAUUGUUUAAAUUGCGGUGCGUCUCGGGGUAAACUUUGGUACACGUGUAAUUUUUAUAAACGUAAUAAAGUUAUUGAAAUACAAACUCUUUCGCGUUUAUGGUACAGUUGUACUUCACAAAACUUUUACAAACUGAACAUUAUCUUCAUCCAAAAUCGUUGGUGAAUCCAUGAUUAAGUUUUGGAACUUCUACUUUUCACUUCCUAUGAAAUAGAAACUUUUAUAUAUGAACUCGUACGUAUAAAACAAUAGAAGAAGCUUAUGGUAUCUUGGUUUACCGCGUUCCAGGUUUAAGUUUGUGAAUCACAAACUUUGUUAAACACAAAGAAAUUAUAGAAAAUUCAAAAUCUUUAGUAAAUCUACGUACCAUUCUUAAUCGAUUUUACGGGGUAAGCCUGUGGUAAAAGUUGAUAAAUACGUAUACUAGUAAUGUAUCUGUUUAUUUUAUCCAGUGACAGUAUCAAUUUUACAUUCCUUUAAAGACUUACUUGUUCGAGAAGGUCCUCGAACUUAAAUAUAACAAAAAACUUGUCUCUCUAAAAUAGUUUUAGUCGUCGUGAAAUGUCUUUCUUCACUUUCCUAAGUACUUUUCCAGUCUCCCCUAUAGAGACGGACCUGUUUCAGGAUGUAGGACUGUUUCUGUAGAUCCUCAAACUUAAACUAUCAAAGUUACCUUUGUGAACGAUGUCAUUCAUUGAAAAUCAUUCCUUUCCACAGUGCCGACGAUGGUGUGGUCGGAGGGAAGAUCUCGGGUGGCCACGGUGGCCCACCGGGUUCUCUUCUUUCUUCGGGUUGUUCGAAAAGCUGGGUAGCUGGACCCUCGACAUUCGCCUGGCUAUUCAUCCGGUGCCACCUCACUCAGCCCGUGUCUUAACAUUAUCUGACUUAGGUGAGGAGUAGGGGGAGGAGACGAAAGGGACAUAGGGGAAGGAGGACGGAGGGCUAGGGGAAAGAGGGGAGCGUUUGGGAUCGACCUAAGAGAACAUUAAGUGGUACUAGCGAACUUAACUCAUUCUCCCAACACUGUAUACCAUAGUCUCGAAGGCCUAAUGGAUGUCUUUGGGUGGAUGUGGUGGGCCGUUGUCGCCGUCCGCCCUCUCUACCUGUCUUCCAUCUCCUCAACAGCCGCCGUGAAUUCCGCUAGGUCCUCGUCUUACUCAGCUAGUACUUCCGCCGUAGCCGAAGGGUGUGGGAGAAGCGGCUCUAGGCGGGCCACCACCGCCUAAACCGCUGCACCUUCGGUGUAGACCUCGUCAGGCAGCGCCUAGACGCCGUUCUCGAACCUCCUCAUGCGGUCCUCUAGCUGGAGUAGCGCGCGUUGGGCCAGGAGCGGGAGUUCGGCAGCCUGGAGGGAGGCUAAGAAGGUUCCGGUUCGUCGCACGGCAAGGGGUUACCGCCGUCGUCGAGAGUUCCCGGGCUACCGGUGGCGUAGCUAGACGAAGUGGCCCCCCACCGAGACCCCAACAAUGGUGGGAUGAGGGCGGAGGCCGGUGCCCAUGCAAAGGUGCGGGGACAGGAGCGAGAAACCUCUCAGGGGCGGUCCGACUAUUAACUAGCUCCGGAAAUCCCGCAAGUGGACACGCACCAAGUAGGGCUAGCCCGUCGAGCAAAGUCGUAACGAGUAGAUAGGAAGGAUACGGAUUCUACCUAAAAGGAGACAAGACCCCUCUUGCCGGUGUGUCAACCUUCGCGUUAACGCUCAGCAUAAAGUCCCACAAAGUGCAUCUGGGCCUCAAAAUCCAUCUAUGACGACGGUACGUAAAGUGUCCCCGUUGGUACCAUACCGAUCUCUUGUUACUCAAGCUGAACGCGGUAUACCUCACCCUUAAAAAAACGAGACACCAGAUACCUGUCAAGCUCUCCUUGCUCAAGUCACCGGACAGCGCAGUCAAUAAAGUAAACGCCGUCUGUCUGAGUCACAGUCUGAUAUGACGAUCUAAGUGGCUCUAAUACGUAAGGAACGAACGUAUAUCGUGAUGGACCCUAGUACGAGACAAGGGUAGAGCAAUACAGCUACCCGAAUCUCUACUCUAAGCACAACAACAAAAUCACGUAUUAGGUUUUCUGGAGCUGUGACGACAAAGAGAGCGAAAGAAUGUCCUUCUCCGUGACCUCUAAAGGUUCGCCGCGCUCGGAGCCGCGACCCUUCCCCCGAGUCCACCACCCGUCUCGUAGGCGAGGGCAGAGGCCCCCCGGUACGGGGAAGGACGUGGAGGACCCGCUGGUGGAGGGCGCCGUUGUUGUCGGUGCCUGCUGGCGGCGCCCCGUUGCUGUCUGUCAAGGGCCUCGCUUUUGUGCCAGCUUCUAGCGGAGAGGCGCGAGUUCCGGAUAGCAGCCCGGUUCACCGAUACAAUAGAGACACCUCUCUUCACCCCGUCUCUCGUGUUUACGCGUUGUUGUCAAGUUGAGGUACAACAGGUUCUCUACAAGCUACACGACCCAAAGAGUCCGGAUGGUUGGUCGCUUCUCGCUAGUCUGAGUCUUUCACUCACGGUGUGGUAGAGUUCUCGACGCUGCGUUCCAUGUCAUCGGGGCGUUUGGUAGUCUAACGUCCCCUUCUAAGUUAUCGUCGUUCACAAACUAUGCAGAGGUUGCAUAGAUAUUAAAAACUAACGAGGUACGAUAUAAUAGAUGAUAAAACCUGUUAUAACCCGAAAUAAUAGGUGAAAAUAUAAUAAAAACCCUGAUUGGAUAAUUGGUCUCCGUGUCGGGUCUUAACGACAAAAAACGGAUAAAGUCUCAAAGCGUCUUUUUCUUAUAGUUUGCCUCAGGUUUGCCUUAAUUUGGAAGCCCUCGCACUAAAAACCUUGCUUGUGCUAGAUCCUCUGAACCUGGGAUGCAUUCUCUUCGAAGGUCCUCCGGUGCUCCAUCCCCCCGCGCGGAUGGGGGGGUCCCGCGCGGGAGGUGGGAGCACCCCGGGGACAACGAGGUGGCUGCAUGAAGAAGGAGGAUAUAUAUGGAUGCAUGGGGGUUUGCUAGUCUAUGCCUCGGUUUUUGGAUUAAGGUGGCGGCGUUGGAAGACAUGGGUGCUCUAGGGUAGAACCCCGGACAAGGCCUCGAGGCGGCCUCCCCCGUAGGUAGUGCCUCCCGAAGAUGUAGUUGUGGUAUCGGAGAGGCUACUUCACACACAUCAAAUGGAGUCUGGUAGCCCAGGUAUCAAUAAUCGAUCUACCGAAGAAGAGAGAAAAACCUAGAGUUAUGUUACAAGAGGGGGAGAGAGCACCUCUAGAUGAACUACAUUAGAAGAAAAACGCCACACAAACAACUCUGGCUACUUAACACCCAAAUACUAGUUCAAAUAGAUACUUGUUAUAAACUUAGAAGAGACUUAAGAAAAUACAUACUAACCAAUAGAAACGUUCAGAGAAGCUUAAUAGUCAAACCAAACCGGAUGAUCUAACUAGAAAGAACGUUACCCUCUUCACGAAUCGAAACCCAAGUUAGAAUGCCACAGGAAAGGGUCACUGUCAUCCCCGUCGUUCCGUGCAUAACAUAACAACGGUAGCUCCUAUUGUUCUACCCCAAAAAUAGUAUAACGUACUUAAAUAGGGAGAUGUAGUACAGUAGAAGGAAUUCCGCAAUGAGACAAGAAUACUUGAAUUAUGAGAUCUACGUACGACCUAUCG
rnacentral:rRNA from 1 species